CAACGAGUGAAUUACGUAUUUCGGAGUUUGACUUUAAACUGGAGUAGGUAAACUAUUUAUUUUUAGAUGUGCAUCAUUUCGAUCAAAAUUUUAUGAAUACGUAAUUUUAAUAAUUGCAACUUAGGAGGAAAAAAUAGAAAAGCUAUACCGACAGCUGAUAAUUUUCGAAAUGAAGUUCGACAGAGGUACUUACCCUGAAGAACUGCAUCGUUCGAGAUGGCUAUGGCUACUUGCAAUAUUUCUGCCAGUAUUGGAUCGGUUUCUAAUAAUUAUUUCACCGAAGGUGUUUUUAUGCACGAUGAAACGUUCAAGGAAGUACCUACCCAAUCAAGAGGAAAUUUCCAAAUUAUUUCAUACAAAAUAUUGCAAUUUUCUACGAAAGGCCUGCGAUGAAACUUGGAUUUAAGGUUAAACCUCAUAUUUAGUAUGGAUCCGUCCUUGAGCCUUGUGAUAUAGAAAAACGUCAUAGUUUUACGUUUUCGAAUAUAGGUGGACGGCUUCCGGUGGCCUUAUCACAAACCUUGCAACAUUGUAACUAGUACAUACAAUAGAUAUUACCGCUAGGUAUCUUUUAUUGCUUUUUUGCAAAGUAUGCAUUACAUAGGUGGCAAAUUUUCGCAAGGUACAUGUAGUUAUGGAUCUCAGAAAAUGCUUCAGUUUUUGAUGAAGAUCCCAAGCAACAUAAUCACACUUUUGCAUUCGCUAUUGCAACAGUUUCCUCGGAUUGAAUCAAGCUAAUCUUAUCUGAGAGGCAGCUGCAUGGAAAUAUUCUUGUUUUUGUAUCGAUGGUACCCAAACCAUGAAAUCAAGAGGCUCGAACUGUGGAAAAAAAUUUCGCUGAUACAUAAAUUUAAAAAAAAAAAAUGAUAUGAUGAAAUAAAUGUUAUUUAGCUUAUUGAAUUAUUUUA